AAGAUAGAAGGGAUAUGUUUUUAUUCCCUGUAUAUUGGUCUAUCUUUUGGAAGUGGUCCUCUGUAGUAGGAUGGUGUAUUUGCCCAGGAAUAUAUAUUUCCUUUUCAGUGCUCAAGGAUGAAGGUCUAUUGCUGUUA